rnacentral:lncRNA from 1 species
AAUUGAUAAUUAUAAAUUAUUUGUGAUUCCUAAUCACAAUUCAACCAUCGGAUCAGUUAAUACCUCUAAUGUGUGUGACCCCAUAGGUUCUAUUCUGUCUGGUAGUGAGAUAUAUUGCGAUCUCUAUCACAAUAUCAUUGAAAACUCCUUUCAAUUGGUUGGAACAAUUCCAACUCUUCUCAUUCGGGUUCACUGAUCACCAAGUGAAUGCCUUUGAGUCUCACAAUCCACCAGUGACACCUAGCAGCAUGUAGUGACAACCCAGCAAAAUGGAAUGAUGAACCUCUAGAUGUAGUUAGUGUAUGAUACAGUCCCUCUAUCGUAGAUCCCGACAAGACGGAGGUCAUGGAUAACUCGUCAAACCCCUAUCGUCUGUCAUAUGUCAAGAUUUAUUCGACUUAAGUUCGAGAGUGGAAAACUCCUUUUCCACUAUACAUACUACC